AUGACAAAUUUGACCGUGUGUAUACUUGGUGAUAUCUUGCACAUGAAAUGCAAUUUCUCAUGUGGCGAAAUUGUGUCCUUAUUUUAGUCACUGGCAAUAUGACCAAUCACAGUCCUCUCUGCUGUUGGCAUGAUGACAACCAAGAUGAUGAAUUGGAUGUGUCCCAGCAACUAGCAGCUUUUUCAGCAACAUUAAAGUGAUCAAAAUCUCCAAGCGCUCAAAGGUACACUGGCGCUAACUCCUCUUGUGGUUCCUGUACUCAGUGCAUCGCUAUACUGGAGCUGCGGAGCCAUUUUGGUGCCCUGGUCCUUCAUCCUGGUGGGCUGAAUGCCGUAUCUCCUGCAGGAUGAAUAAUAAAUGGGAGCAUGUCCGGAGAGAUGUUGGAGCUAUUGGCACAGAGUAAUCCUCUGCCAGCAGAAAUCUUUACAGGCCACGGCAGAACCACAGCAAAGCC